rnacentral:rRNA from 1 species
UACGUAGGUGGCGAGCGUUGUCCGGAUUUACUGGGCGUAAAGAGCGCGCAGGCGGCUGGUCAAGUCCGAUGUGAAAGCUCCCGACUUAACUGGGAAAUUGCAUCGGAAACUGAUCGGCUGGAAGGUGGGAGAGGGUAGCGGAAUUCCCGGUGUAGUGGUGAAAUGCGUAGAUAUCGGGAGGAACACCAGUGGCGAAAGCGGCUACCUGGCCCAUUCUUGACGCUGAGGCGCGAAAGCUAGGGGAGCAAACGGG